AAAAAAAAAAAAAAAAAAGACAGACAGUUCUGAUCACCUAUACAAAGAGACUAACAUCUAUCAAUUAAAAGUAAUUAAAUACAUCCAAAGCAAUAAUAAUAAAUCCUAGGGUUUGCCGAUAUUUCGGUAGAAUUUCCUCUGUAACUAGAUUUAACCCCCUAUGAAGCAAAUACAAGAAAAGUAGCAACAACAACCAAAAAAAUUGACUUUAGGCCCACAACAAAUUCACAAUGCCCAUCUAGGGCUGACAAGAAUCCUAAUUCUACAUCCGAUUUUCCAAUAUCUAGUUUGAGUCCCUAAUUACUUUAUAGUUUAAUUAAAUAUUCCAGUACAUCAAAAAUUAUAAAAAUAUUCUUG
rnacentral:misc_RNA from 1 species